AACCACGCGGUGAGCACAAAGCGAACUAUUCUUUCGCCUUUUACUAAAGAAUACCGUGUGCUUGCUGAAAUUAGCGGCAUGCGCCGAAAGAAAGAAAAAUUUUUUAAAAAAAAAAAAA
rnacentral:snRNA from 2 species